CAGAGGGCUGUAUGGAUGUAUUUGGAUGUAUUUUCCUCCUUCUUCUUUCACCUCAUACUUGCUACCCAAUGCUGAUAUUAUGUGGGAACCCAUAGGUUCAAAGCACGUGGCCCCCGUGGUGGCGUGCACGUUGCCAUGGGUGAAUACUGAAGAGUCAAGGAUGGAUAUUCAAAGGCAUAUACUGUGUCCAGGAAGUCAGGAGUAGAGCAGUGAAUGAAGUGACUAUAACAAUACAAAUACAGCCUUGGCUCUACAUUCACACAAAUUGGCUUCCUGCGGCACACCAGUGGAAAUCAUCUCAACCACAGGCGGCGUUGGGAUGGAGGAACGUAGGUUUAUAACGACAUGAGCUCACCUACCAAGCCAGACAAAGUACAGCAGGCUUUCAAAGGAGAGAAGGGAGAAAGGAGGUGCAAGGCGGCCCUGCAGAAAGAGGAGGAAAGCAAAUCAAAAGGAGGUGUCCAUGCUGAAGAAAACCCUUAAUCCAUCUGAGAUCCCACAGACCUUAUCAGAUGGGGUGAAUACAAAUUGCACAGCUACCUCUGCAGCAACCCGGCUCCACUUUUCCUCAGGGUCCUAAAGCUGCAUGCUCUCAUGCAGUGUGAAUGCAUGUGGAUGAAUGUCGUCGCUCCACCUAUUUAGACUUUUCACUAUUCGGGGGGGCAUUUGUACUCUUCCAACAUGAUGGGUGCUGCUCCCAUCCAGUCCAGUGGAUCAGUGGACAGAUAUUGUGUUAUACAUCAUUAGCAUCCAUGACGGUGCCAUUCCAGUACAGGACAGAUACAUCACUAGCAUCCAUGAUGGUGCCAUUCCAAUCCAUCCCGGCAUCACACAACUUCAUUCACCACAUUCAAUUCCCACCUUGCUCAAACCAACUUCGUCAUUUACUUCUUAAUGGUCCAUCACUUUCUUUCAUAAGUUUAUUAUUUGGCAUAUUUUAUUAUUUAUUCAUAUUCUAUUAUUUAGGAUUUUUUCUGUUGUUGUAAUUAGCUCGACUAUAUUCAAAAUCACCCCGCCACUUCUAAUUAUUCACUAUUUAAAAUAAAUAAUGAUAUUACACUACUUAUAAAAAAUAAAUAGUCAUUGAUUUAAAAUAAUGAACAAAUAAUAAUAAUCAUAAUAAUAAAAAAAGAAUGAAAUAUCUUGUAUUCUUGAUGCUGUGAUGUUUUCUAAUUUACCAGACACUUUCAUGGAAUCGGUA